GUCCUUCGGGAUGAGUAGAGUGGCGGACGGGUGAGUAACGCGUAGGAAUCUAUCCUGUAGUGGGGGAUAACGUUUCGAAAGGAACGCUAAUACCGCAUACGCCCCUCGGGGGAAAGGCUUGCUGCUGCUGGAGGAGCCCGCGUCGGAUUAGGUAGUUGGUGGGGUAACGGCCUACCAAGCCUGUGAUCCGUAGCUGGUCUGAGAGGAUGAUCAGCCACACUGGGACUGAGACACGGCCCAGACUCCUACGGGAGGCAGCAGUGGGGAAUAUUGGACAAUGGGCGCAAGCCUGAUCCAGCAAUGCCGCGUGAGUGAUGAAGGCCUUCGGGUUGUAAAGCUCUUUCGCCCACGACGAUGAUGACGGUAGUGGGAGAAGAAGCCCCGGCUAACUUCGUG
rnacentral:rRNA from 1 species